CCUUGUCGUCCCGGUCCAGCAUUCCAUGUUUCCACGUCACAGACUCACAUUGUUUGACAGUUGUCAAUAUGUCUGCAUUGUGCAUGAGCGCCACCUACAGGAUGAGCAGACUGGGACAACCAACCUUUGGUGUGACAUCAUUGUUUGGCCUUGGCGAAGGAACUAAUCUGCUCAGCAACCAAACUAAAAUGCAGCCCUCAAAGCCGGCCUCACUUACCAACCCGAAUUUUGGUAGGCAUGUCUAUCAUGAGUGGACCCACCAAAAAGUCUCAAGAAGCCACUUUCGAAAAGACACAAGAAGUCAGCCGCUUUGCAUUAAAACACCCAUUUAAGAGUAACUUUUGGCCAUUUGCAGUUCUCCUUCAAAAACAAAUUGGUCCAAGAGAUAUUGUCAAUUCUUAUCAAGUUUGAACCACUUAUACUGGACGGUAAAGCAUGGAAAAUGUCAGUUUUCGAUAUUGUAAAGCUUGAUGACUCACCACAAAACAUGAAACUCUAAAAAGACUUUUCCACAUUGCUGUUUAACUUUUGUGAAUUAAAGGAUGAUUAUUUCAAUGUGAUGGAAGAUUCCAACUCUCCACAUGUAAAGCUUGUUUUUAGCAGUGCCAGCACAAAUACACCAAGGCACCAGAAAACCGAAAUGGCAGAAAAAUCUGUGGG